rnacentral:sRNA from 1 species
AUCGGCAUUGCUGGUGAGCGCUGGAAUAAACUGUUGCUCGCAGUGCUGGCGUCGCUUCUUGCUUUUGACCACGGAUGUACUGGCAGGGGUAUAAAGCGACGGUGAGGAAGGUCGGUGCGAAUUCGCCCCGGCCUUUUUUGUU